GAUGAAGAACGCAGCGAAAUGCGAAAAGUAAUGUGAAUUGCAGAAUUCAGUGAAUCAUCGAAUCUUUGAACGCACAUUGCGCCCGCCAGCAUUCUGGCGGGCAUGCCUGUUCGAGCGUCAUUUCAACCCUCGACCUCCCCUUGGGGAGGUCGGCGUUGGGGACCGGCAGCACACCGCCGGCCCUGAAAUGGAGUGGCGGCCCGUCCGCGGCGACCUCUGCGCAGAAAUACAGCUCGCACCGGGACCCCGACGCGGCCACGCCGUAAAACACCCAACUUCUGAACGUUGACCUCGAAUCAGGUAGGACUACCCGCUGAACUUAAGCAUAUCAAUAAGCGGAGGA
rnacentral:misc_RNA from 1 species